UACGAAGGGUGCAAACGUUGCUCGGAAUUAUUGGGCGUAAAGAGCUCGUAGGCGGUCUGUCGCGUCUGCUGUGAAAACUCAGGGCUUAACCCUGAGCUUGCAGUGGGUACGGGCAGACUAGAGUGCGGUAGGGGAGAGUGGAAUUCCUGGUGUAGCGGUGAAAUGCGCGGAUAUCAGGAAGAACACCCGUGGCGAAGGCGGCUCUCUGGGACGGUACUGACGCUGAGACGCGAAAGCGUGGGGAGCAAACAGG
rnacentral:rRNA from 1 species